rnacentral:rRNA from 1 species
CUACAAGGGUAUCUAAUCCUGUUCGCUCCCCACGCUUUCGCGCCUCAGCGUCAGUUACAGACCAAAGAGCCGCCUUCGCCACUGGUGUUCCUCCACAUCUCUACGCAUUUCACCGCUACACGUGGAAUUCCGCUCUUCUCUUCUGCACUCAAGCCUUCCAGUUUCCAAUGACCCUCCCCGGUUGAGCCGGGGGCUUUCACAUCAGACUUAAAAGGCCGCCUGCGCGCGCUUUACGCCCAAUAAUUCCGGACAACGCUUGCCACCUACGUAUUACCGCGGCGGCUGGCAC